UACGAAGGGGGCUAGCGUUGCUCGGAAUGACUGGGCGUAAAGGGCGCGUAGGCGGUUUGUACAGUCAGGUGUGAAAUUCCCGGGCUCAACCUGGGGGCUGCACUUGAUACGUAUGGACUGGAGUGGGGAAGAGGGUCGUGGAAUUCCCAGUGUAGAGGUGAAAUUCGUAGAUAUUGGGAAGAACACCGGUGGCGAAGGCGGCGACCUGGACCAACACUGACACUGAUGAGCGAAAGCCAGGGGAGCAAACGGG
rnacentral:rRNA from 1 species